AUCCUACUCUGGCCUAUUUUGCAGAGCUGAUAAGAAGCAAAUGAGAUACUGGAUAUGAGACGCCAGGCCUGUGGGAGGCAAACAUUCGUCAAACUCUUUCAUGGUACUCUGAGCAACACAAUCUCAAAUCAGAUUCUUCGGUACAUCAUGGUGCACCUCCCAAGUGAUGCUGAUAGUCAUGGUCAAGACCUUCUAAACUGGAUCAUCGUUACUGUUACGGUUGGAAUUGAGUAAGAGAGAGACACCGUUGAGUCUAGAAGAGUCACCUCUUUCCUCUGUUGGACAAAGGUGGACCCUGACUCCCCCGUUCCACGUGAAACUAACCAUAAAUCCCAGAAUGUCACAAGAAGGAUCUUAGAGAACCGCUAGUGCAGCUCCCUCAGUUUACAGCCUCUGCCCAAUUUUCCCCUGGACUCAAAGGGGCAACGCUGUGGGACCAAUUUUGCCUUUAUUCCUGCCUUCCCUGUGAUGGAGUCCUUGACAGAAGGAUGUCUCCAGCCUGGCAUCCAAGCACCGACAGGUCAUUCUUCUUGGCCUUACCACUGCCACAUUUCUCCCUACAGGCAGUAUUUGCUGCCUCGAGCAGAUACGCUGCUGGUGGAAUUACCACGUGCACACAGAAACUAGAGAGUAGCCCCAGCUCUCUGGAACUAGAAAAAAGCCCUUGGAGGAUAUAAAGCCUCAAAAGAAGCCUACGCACCUAUGGUCAAUUAAUCCAUGAC
ensembl:lncRNA